GGGAAGGUAGCUUAGUGGUAGAGCACUUGCCUUCUAUGUAUGAGGCCCUGGGUUCGAUUCCUUAGCACCA
rfam:Dipodomys ordii contig_63167, whole genome shotgun sequence.